UAUAUAUAUAUAUAUAUAUAUAUAUAUAUCUUCUAAUUUGUUUAUUGAUCUGUUAAACUGGGCCGAUUUACAGAGCCGCAGUGCCUUCUGUAUCCAAGUCAUACGUAUGACCCCUGCAGACCACGACCCCGCGACCCCACGCCCCUGCGACCCCGGCCCCUCGAACCCCCAAUCCUCCCCUGAUUAGGAAGUAAAGAUCGACCACGCCACGCCUUAAGACAGUCCUACUGGCUUUCACACAAACACGGAGACAGGACUAAUCUUUUGUGUUGAUUUUUAAUUUUGGAAUAAAAAGCCAAGAGACUAAAAGUUGACUUUAGAGGCAGAAGUCAACGUCAGGCUGCGGUGUCGCACUCCUUGGUCCCCACAUUCAGCUAGAACUCAGAUUGUGUUUCUUUUCUAGAAGUUCUCCCUCCGAAAAGACGAACAAACAAACAAACAAAAAAAAACUUUGUCUUUUAAUCCUUUGAGUGGUUUCUUUGAGAAUUUUCAAAUCUUGAACCACGUUGUAUGCUACCAAGUAACUCUCUGUACUACAAACACAACGACAACACACAAGUUGGAACGGCUGGAACACUGAAUGCUGCAAGCUAACCUUAGCCUUCCACUUUACCUCUCCAUUAGCAUAGCAUGAAGCUGUCUGCUGUCCGGCGUGGAGAUAGCCUGGGUCCCGUGGAGAGAGAGAGAGAGAGAGACAGAGAGAGGUUCACCAAGGUGAAAAGCUGUUUGCUCACUUCUCAGGUCAAUCUAGUGCUAGCUAGUUAGAUAGAUAACCGUAGAAGAGCGACCGCUGACAAUGCUAGGAGCUUAACUGAGUUAUUGUAUGGUUUUACCUGGCAUAGCCAUUCAGUCAGACGUUGUAAUGUCGACACCCCCCACCCACCCCCCUUCCUUCCUCCCCCCUCCCCUCUCCUCUCCUCCCUCUUCAAAGCCGUACAUUACAGACGCUGGCUCCCCUCCGCGUCCUCAUGCACAGCCCACUAUAGCUCUGAUAACCAGUUGCACCCGGCCGCUCAUGGGUUCAACGCGCCACAGGGGAAACCCUCCUCCAUUUUGGCUCUCCACUCGACCACAUGCUUCGUCCAGAAUUGUAACCGCAGAUCCAAAAUGGUCGACACACAACACUGCCCUCUGUCCGACCGCAUGUUGUGUGCGUGCUUCCCAACAACAAAACAAAAACCCCAUCCUUACCAAAACAAUCUUUUAUAAUUUGGGUGUUUUCUAUUCAACGCUGUUGUUGAUUUUGUUGUUUUCAUCGGGUGUUUGGGCACUGUGCAGGGGGGUUGCAAGUCAUAUUUCUUUUUUUGUUUUUAUUUCAUCCGAGCGUUCCACUCAAUGUUUUUUUUGUAUUUGCUUCAUCCUUGUUACUCCUCCAUCACACUCUCUCAUUCAGAGCUUGUGGUCCUCAUUCCCACACACAACCCACAGUUUAUCAAACACACACAAGCACACACACAGACACACAAGCCAAGUGUGUGUCUCGGUACACCAAUAAGGGCUCUCUUUAGAAAAAAAGGCGAUCUUAAACCUAAAGUGUAAAUGUUUUGAGAGACCAAGGCACGUGGAGUCUCGCUGUACAGUAGUGCUGAUGUAGCGGCGUCCCCACGCUGCCCCGGCCCCGCUUCACAGGCGGGGAGGUGUGCAUGCUUGAGUCAGGUUAGGGGUGGUUGGGGUGGUCGUGGUGGUUUCGGCAGCGGAGAUUGAGGUUAGGGGUUGGGGGAGAACGCCACCCAGAGGGGGGGAGGGGGCGGUGAGUGCGGAGGAAAGAGAGAGAUCGUUCACCUGAUUGCUGUUCGUGGUAGUGGUCCGUAGUGGUCGAUACGGGGUCAUGGAAGGUGGGGGCUGUAGUCUUUUAGUCGUAGCUCUAAUAGUAUUAAUAGUGGUUAUGUCACGAGUUGCGGAAUAAUCUAAACACAUAGACACACACACACAAUCUCACGAUGGCACUGGACAUCACCCCACCCACCCACAUGACACCAACUCUCUCCCCCAUCACCACAACACCCACCCCCAGCUCCAUGUUGGUGUUCAGGGGCCAUUUGGGUUGUUGACCUCCAUAUCCAUGCAUCAUGACUCACCUUUGGAAUGGAGGGUGCCACCCAUGGGAGCUACUGGGAAGGAUGGGGGUUAUACUGGCUGAACAGACAUGGCCCUGUGUGUGUGUGUGUGUGUGUGUGUGUGUGUGUGUGUGUGUGUGUGUGUGUGUGUGUGUGUGUGUGUGUGUGUGUGUGUGUGUGUGUGUGUGUGUGUGUGUGUGCAUGCGCUGCAACAGGUAACCUUCAGUGCCUUGCGUUGUCGUGGAAACGCCACCUCCACCGGAGAUCGGUAGCGCAACACACUCCCCGCGCCGCCAUACGCUCUUAAUCGUUGCCAUCGCGGUCGCCAUGGUUACUUCACCUCAUACCACUGCCAUCCAAUCAGCUGCCUGCCCACUUCCUUUUCUGAAUCCAGAUCAUCGCAGGGUGUGUGUGUGUGUGUGUGUGUGUGUGUGUGUGCAUGUGUCCGUGUGUGUCAUCAAAUCUUGCCACUGUAUGUUCUUCAUCUCUGUAAGCUCUUCUGUACAUACAUAUUCUAUAAAGAUCCUGGGGGAUCAAAUCCAAACCUUCAUCUGCCCUGGUGGUUUUUCUGUGCUGUGCAUCUCCUUGCUGCAUCAAUGCCUUCAUUCUGGUCUGCCUUGGUCUGCUCCAGCUUUGUUAAUCAUCUUAAUGGUUUUGCUUUCAAGUUUUUUGUCUCGAUGGAAGGUUGAAUUUAUCUCUCACCAGCUUUGUUGUUGGAAGGAGACUAAAUCCACCUGGUAACACAAUUUCUUGCACAGUCUCUCACCCUAUCUCCAUCUCUCUCAGUUUUUCAUCCUCUCUCUUUCUCUUUCUAUUUUUCUUUUUCUUGCUCUGUUCCUCUCUCUUACUCAAUCUCUAUCUCUCUCUCGCUCCAUUGCCUGUAAUUCCAUUCAUGAACGCAAGGUGGCGGGAUCCAGCUUUGUUUGAGACGUGAUAUAACAUUCAUCACCACUGGCAGCAUCUGCAUUGUGUGUUGUUUGUUUGUGUGUGUAUGAGUGUGUGUGUGUGUGUGUGUGUGUGUGUGUUUGUGUGUGUGUGUGUGCGUGUGUGUGUGCAAAACUAAAAUACUCAAAUCCACUUUGCAAGCUUUAUAAAGUGACUCACGUGGAAGAGAGUGAAAGAGUCCCAAGCUGUCGCCAUAGCAACCCUCAUAGGCCCUUCUCCGUCGUGCUCUCCAUUCCAACCAGAAAACCAUUCCACCGCCUCAUGUGAAGAACAACAACAAGUUGCUUCAGAAACACCUCUACCGAGAAUCACCUUUUCGGGGAACCCUUUAGCUGCGGGCCUGCAUCCUGCAUCCAAAACACCUGGAGGUGUGCUAACCACUGUCUCAGGCCUCCGAUGCCACCCCACCCCGAGGCGUUCUUUGAAGCAACUUCUGGGCUCCAUCCAUCCAUCGCACCAUCCAUCGGCAUGUCAACCAUUGGAAUCCAACCCUUGAACAAACUCACCAGUGCCACAGUAGAAAACCAUACAGUAUUCAUUUAGCAAGUUUUUUUUGGGGGGGGGAAAGAGAUAAAAAAUAAAAUAACAUAAAUGGCAAUUUAGGAUAAAAGAAGUAUUUAAUUACAAGAUUUGCAUGUGCAAUGUGCAUGCCACUAUGUGGGAUACCAAGUCAACUUCAGGAAUUAAAAAAAAAGAAUAUAAAGAAAAAAGUAUAUAUAUGUAAAAAUAUAUAUAGAUAGAUGUUUUUAAGAGCAAUGUGUUUCUUUUUUCUUCUAUUUUUAAAAACAAAAAACCUAAAAAACCUUGACCAAAAAAAAAAAAGAUCCUGAGAAAAAAAAAACGGAAAUGACUUUGGUGAUGAAAAUCAAAGAAUGUUUGUUUGUUAUAUUGCCAGUUACUUCACUCGGGGCAGGGGUGAU
ensembl:lncRNA